rnacentral:rRNA from 1 species
CAGUCGAACGAGAUCCAGAGCUUGCUUUUGGUGAAGUGGCGCACGGGUGCGUAACGCGUAUGCAACCUACCUUAAUCAGGGGGAUAGCCUCUCGAAAGAGAGAUUAACACCGCAUAACAUUAUGAUAUGGCAUCAUAUUAUAAUCAAAUAUUUAUAGGAUUAAGAUGGGCAUGCGUGACAUUANCUANUUGGUGAGGUAACGGCUCACCAAGGCUACGAUGUCUAGGGGAUCUGAGAGGAUGACCCCCCACACUGGUACUGAGACACGGACCAGACUCAUACGGGAGGCAGCAGUAAGGAAUAUUGGUCAAUGGAGGCAACUCUGAACCAGCCAUGCCGCGUGCAGGAAGACGGCCCUAUGGGUUGUAAACUGCUUUUAUACGGGAAUAAACCUCUCUACGUGUAGGGAGUUGAAUGUACUGUAAGAAUAAGGAUCGGCUAACUCCGUGCCAGCAGCCGCGGUAAUACGGAGGAUCCAAGCGUUAUCCGGAUUUAUUGGGUUUAAAGGGUGCGUANGCGGCCUAUUAAGUCAGGGGUGAAAGACGGUGGCUCAACCAUCGCAGUGCCCUUGAUACUGAUGGGCUUGAUUACACUUGANGUANGCGGAAUGUGACAAGUAGCGGUGAAAUGCAUAGAUAUGUCACAGAACACCAAUUGCGAAGGCAGCUUACUAANGUGUCAAUGACGCUGAGGCACGAAAGCGUGGGGAUCAAACAGGAUUANAUACCCUGGUAGUCCACGCCCUAAACGAUGAAUACUCGAUGUUAGCGAU